rnacentral:rRNA from 1 species
GAUGAACGCUGGCGGCGUGCCUAAUACAUGCAAGUCGAGCGAACGGACGAGAAGCUUUCUUCUCUGAUUUUAUCGGCGGACGGGUGAUUACCACGUGGAUAACCUACCUCUCCGACUGGGAUAACUUCGGCAAACCGGAGCUACUACCGGAUAAUAUUUUGAACCUCAUUGUUCCCAAGUUAAAGACGGUCUUUCUUUCACUUAUAGAUGGAUCCGCGCUGCAUUAGCUAGUUGGUAAGGUAACUGCUUACCAAGGCAACGAUGCAUAGCCGACCUGAGAGGGAGAUCGGCCACACUGGAACUGAGACACGGUCCAGACUCCUACGGGAGGAAGCAGUAGGGAAUCUUACGCGAUGGGGGAAAGCGUGACGGAGCAACGCCGCGGGAGCGAUGAAGGUCUACGGAUCGUAGAGCUCUGUUAUUAGGGAAGAAGAUAUGUGUAAGUAACUGUGAACAUCAUGACGGUACCUAAUGAGAAAGCCACGGCUAACUACGUG